AAAGCGCGUGUAGGCGGGUCCUUAAGUCAGGGGUGAAAUGCCAAGGCUCAACCUUGGAACUGCCUUUGAUACUGGGGAUCUUGAGUCCGGGAGAGGUGAGUGGAACUGCGAGUGUAGAGGUGAAAUUCGUAGAUAUUCGCAAGAACACCAGUGGCGAAGGCGGCUCACUGGCCCGGAACUGACGCUGAGACGCGAAAGCGUGGGGAGCAAACAGGAUUAGAUACCCGUGU
rnacentral:rRNA from 1 species